rnacentral:rRNA from 1 species
UACAGGGGGGGCAAGCGUUGUUCGGAAUUACUGGGCGUAAAGGGCCAGUAGGCGGCCGACUAAGUCCGACGUGAAAUCCCCAGGCUUAACCUGGGAACUGCGUCCGAUACUGGUAGGCUUGAAUUCGGGAGAGGGAUGCGGAAUUCCAGGUGUAGCGGUGAAAUGCGUAGAUAUCUGGAGGAACACCGGUGGCGAAGGCGGCAUCCUGGACCGACAUUGACGCUGAGGCGCGAAAGCCAGGGGAGCAAACGGG